UUGUCUUUCUUUACGUUGCUU
rnacentral:piRNA from 1 species